AAUAUUUAUAUGUCUCAAUUUUAAGCGUUUAUCGCAUUCUUCUCUCAUAAUUAAUUUUCUAACGGAUUUUUAUUAACAUUGUAUAUCGGUUUAAUUUCUUCAUUACCGAAAUAAUCUAAUUUCGAAAGAAGCAAACGAUUUGCUUAAAGUUACGCUUAUGACGUCACGCUGCAGAGCGACGCGCGCAUCUCUUCGAUAAUCGAUAAUUAAAAAAUCGCGAUCAAGUAAAAUUUCGAUAAUCGAAGGAGUGUCAUGGUGGAAUUUCUAACGGGUACCGCGGCACAGUGACGCUUUGAUAAAAAAUUUGAGAAAAUAUCGUUUUGCAUCCAAAUAUUCGCUUCUGUCGUUCGUAUCACGUAUACGGGAAGUGCAUAUAAGUGAAAUUUAAUUUACAAUAUGUGUAUUUAUUGUAUGGAGAAGGAAUAAGCCAGCAUAUACUUUUCCUCGUACUGUCUUCCAUCAACCUUGUCUACAAAAGGUGAAUCUCGCCAUACUUUUUUACCAAUUAUUUACGUUCGUCGAAUGAUUAAUCUUUCAAGGAAUUUUUAAUACUAUAUAUUUAACUUCGAUAAGAAACAAAAUGUGUAGAUUAGGAUAUCGAAUUUGCAACUCGAUGAGAGUGAGUGAGAGAACACGUUCGUGUGCGCAAGAAAGAGUAAGAGAGAAAUGGCAAAACUUGUGAAUUAACCGUUGAAACACGCGGGCAGAGUUACGUAAGGGUCUCGUUGCAUCGUGUACGCGUGCGUUUCUUCUAUCCACGUGCUGUACGCGCUCGUUAGAAGUGAAUGUCAGCCGCUUAUAUCGCGGAAGCCCCUUACCAUCCGGGUAAAUAUGUCGACGUAUACGUGAAUCUCUUCUAAUCACGUACUCCUGGUCGAGAAACGUGCCUCUAUGACCUCGCACAGUUGUAGUUUUACAAUCUGUCAAGUCUGCCGCCUGUCCUUCCCUCUAUCGAUUAUAUAUCUUAUACCUUAAAUUAUCUUCGUGUCGGCUGCGUCACGGUUAGUUAGAAAUUGUUCCACUCCAUGUUUCUGGGAAACACGACCAAUAUCGACGUUUCAUAAUGCAGAGUCGGAGACGAAGAAGAGAAGGUAAUCGACCAUCUUCUCCGACUACACAUUUCGAGGAACCGAAUCACUCGACUCGGAUACACGACACAUUCUCGGUGAGUCAUAUUUAGCCAUUACAUGUUUCUUUAUGUGUAUAUUAGCGUGCACUAACGGGAGCCCUAAGAGCUCAUGCUUACGCGUGACGCGAUCGUGUAUAUGGAAGUACAGUGAAACGCGCACGCACGUGUGCGCAUAUACCAGGAACGUAACACGGAGGGACGAGGUUGUCGCCCCCUUCUCGUGAAACUGGAAAAUUUAUCGAGAGCAACGAACACACGCUGCCCGACCUAAAACUUUAUGGCCCCUCGUAAAUGCUGGUGAACGAUUCGUUAGAGAAUAAUAGACGCAGAGACCGGUAUUCUGAAAUUAUCGAAUGGCUGUAGAAUCGCAAUUAGGAUAAUUUUGCAACGUUAACAAUUGUACAUAAUUUUGCUCAAACGAUCGAUAAAAAUGCAGAAAUUUCCACGUCUCGGUGGGAAAACGGUAAUUAUAAACGCGAGAACGUAGCGAAACUAGUAUUCGAUUGUGCAAACUGUCCUAUAACGGGAAGAUCGUAUCGAUAAACGGUAUGUGUGCGGUUUUCGUUCUCUGUGGGGUCAAUAUUUCUCCAUGGAGAUAAUAAUAGCAAACCUUUGGCGCGCGUCACGCACACAUGAAAUAAUUACGUAGUAUUGGGCAAGCGUUGGAAUUGAUCCGAGCGGCGCGCGAGUCGCGUUAAACGUUAUUACUAUUCCUUCCUAUUCUCGAAUUCGCAUUUCGGCCAUCACGCUUCCAUGAAAUAAUAACAUUGCCCCACGAUAUCCGUAAACGACGAAACGACGCGUAUAGGAUAUACUUUUACGUGCUGGCCAGGAAUUCCUGUUCUUUGAAUGCAUUGAGAAGAAAAUUUGUUGUUUUUUCUUGUCCGAAGUGUCAAUAAUCUAUCUAUAUUUACAAUCUCACUUGUAAACUUUUCGGCCUCGUAUUUCGUAUUUAAGGAGAACUCGAUACUCGUGAUCGACUAUCGCGAUUCAAGUGAUCGCGACCGAUAAAUGAGGGAUCGAUUCGCGCAUGCGUAGACAGAUUGCAACGGCGCAAGAAACAAACCACGUGACGUAAACGACACACACGUGUUGCGCGUAUCGCAAGAAUCACGUUUCCGUUUAAAAAGCAUAGAUGGACACGCGUUACUCGCUCUUAUAUGUCUUACAGCGAAAAUAACACGCUGAAUUCGCGGUUCAAUUCUUGAAUUAUAAAUCGCAAUUAGAUCGAUUCUCGAGUGUCACGUGCACCGGCCUACUCGUGUCGCUCGGUUGCGCAACGUGACACUACCCCAGAAGUUAAUGAUGCAAUUUAAAUGACAACGCUAUAUGUAAACACGAAUAUGCAUAUGCAAACACGUAUAAACGAUAUGGACAUUUUUUCCUUUUUCUUUUUCCUUUUUUUUUUCUUUUUAAUAAGCGAAUUAAUUAAAAUGAUUUUUAUUACGGAUUCAAGAUAUAUGGAUUAAUAAUUGAAUGUCGUUGAAAUUCAAUUCAACGAAAUACGCCGUUUCCCGCAAUAUUAUUAAUAAUGCGCGAUGACUUGAUUAAACGGCCACGAUGAAUGAUCGUACGACGCAAUUGCAUAUAUAUAAUUUCCUGUUUUUUCCUUUUUUCUUAUCUUGAUUCGCGGAUAUUUUAUUUUUAAUCGAUAGCUACACAUUAGACACUGAAGACAGCGUGUCGUAUUAAGCAUUGAGAGAUUAUCAUUCAGAGACCAUUAUCAAGUUGCACGAUAUUAGCUGACCUCCUGAUAACGUUAUAAAUAGGAGGGGGGAAAAAAGUGCGAUUGGGAAAAUAAGAUCACACAAGGCUAUUUAUCAAUUGCCCAUUAAUGCGCUUUUACGAGUACAAUUUUGUUGCGGUCACGUUUUUAUAAAUCUCGAGGUUCAACAUGGACGAUUAACCAAUUUAUCUGUCCGAUUAUCUUUCGAAUUCGAGGAAAACAAGAAUAUUUGAUUAAUCUCCUCGUGAAAAGAUUAUGCAUUGAUUAGGAACACGGUCUCGUUGUCACGCGUGAAUCGUCACAAAUGGUUGCGCAACGUAAUGGCACGCGCACUGGCCUCCAACAAAUUUACGCGGCGUGUCUUAACAUUUUUUCCCAUGAAUCACGCACGGAAAUUCUAUUUUCCAUGAACCAAGUAUUCCUUUUAAUCUUCGACGGGUGCACAGAUGAUCUCGUUAAUAAUCUCGUACUGGAAAUUUGGGCAUUUGUUUUUCUUCCGACGCCGGCUUUUCGGCGAAUACGGCAUGCAACUGCAACGAACAGACGGAUACAGCACUCGCCGGUCUUCGAAGAAAUUUAUUUCACUUCCUCCGCACGAAUUAAUUUUUCGCCGAAUCCGUUGCACGAUCUAACUGGAAAUCGCACGGAAAAGGCCCAAUUGAUGAUCGAAUUAAACAGACGGAGUUGAAAAUUGAGGAUAGAUUACAAGUUUAGAAAUUGUAUUUCAAAAUUCUUUUAUACGUGUUUAUUUGAUUUUUCUCAAGAGAAAUUAGAUAAUAUACAGUAACGUGACAGAGAAAGAAAUUAAUAUUAUUGUUAUAUUUAUAUUUGUUGACCUUGCUCAACAAGUAGAAAAACUAUCGUAGUAAAAAACAGAAAUGAAAAAAUCACUAUUACAUAAUAACGGUCUUAUCGUAUUUUCCUCGAAUAUAGGAGACUGUUAACGAUAGAGAAACACACGACUGGAUGAAAUACAAUACGAAGAAUACGUAGCAGGGUUAAACGUGCGUUAUCGCCCUUUGCCGUACUUCGAGGCGCGCAUUGUUCGCGUUCUUUUCUUCUGUUUGCUCCAAAUUGUCUCAACUCGGCCGCGUGACGCACGGUUAUGUAACGACAAAAGCACGCUGUUCUCCGUAACAGUGGUGACGGUGCGCAUUAUACACCGAAUGCUAUAUAACUCCCCCCCUCCCACCCGUCCGCACCUUCCUUCGCUUUCUCGUUCUUUCCUCGUCCGACGUAGACGUUUUCUAGCCUCCUAUUCCCCACUCUCUCUUAUCGGCGUCUUAAGGACACGACCGUUAUAACUGGACACGCGAGUUACCAAAUUCUCCUUGCUUCGUGUCCAAACGACGUUACCGAUCGAUUUCUUCCGGAGAAAUAUCUCUCGAGUCGGUCGGAUUUACACUUGUCGGAUAGACAGACGCGUUACGUAAUGUUAUACGUGCGUGGGCGUGUUCCAAAAUCCCUUCAUUCACGCCGCACGCUCAUCGGCCGAGAAUCUGCUUCGAGUCUCCAUUUUCGGAUGAUCUUGCAGCACACCGGGCGUCAAUUUUAGGACAUGUACCGACGAUCGGUACAUAUCUUGACCGAUCGAGUCGAGAAACGUGGAUAGGAUAAACGCGUUGGCGUUAUCGCAGUUGGAUCGCAACUAUUUCGUUUUCUGCUUUCUUUUAUUUUUUCGCGAGACAUUUUUAGCGGUUAGAGGCGGGCGGUAUUUAAACGAGAAGGGGACGAUAGAGCGGAGAGCGAGCGUUCCAAAAAUGCGGGGAUAGAAACGCGGCGCGGGCCUGAAAUAGUUCUCGGAGUACGUCGAACUUUAAGUACAGUACAUAAAGGCACGUGCACAAUGCCAGCCACUCGAUACGGCUCGGCCGUGCGUGUUACGAUUGCGGUCAGCGCUCACGUAACAGCCGACCGCUGAUACCGUUAUCGGACCGACACAGGCAUUUCGAACCGGUCUCCGAUUUCGUUUCCCGCUCAUUAUGCAAUUGGCCCGCGAUAACGCGAUCGCCAACCGAAAAAAACAAAAAGGCAGAACACGCGACACGCAACGACAUCCUUCUUCUCCUUCUCCUUCUUCUACUCUUUUUUCUCCGUUUUUUUUUUGCUACCUCGGCUCCCAUUGUUCACGCCUCGGUGAGCAACGUUACUUCGCGCAUCCUGUUCGAUUUUGGAGCACUUCGUUUAUAUACAGUUAAACGAAACGGUUACGGUCUGCUCACGCGCGUAUGGCCAUCGGGGGCAAAAAUAUACGCGAUUGAUGAUGAAAUGAUCUUGAAAUCUUGGGAUGGAUGGUGGAAUAUAAGAAACAGUGACGUAACAGAAGUCUGGGAAAUUAUACAAUAGCCAGAUAAACGAGCAAUGAACUGAAAGUCGGAGCGCGGACGUUGAUCGAUUCAAUAAGCCGGUUCAUUUAUUUCCGAAUAGAACCAGCCAUAUCGAAAACUCGUGUUUAUAAAUCUCUCUCGCUCGAUUUAUUAUUUAUUCGCAGAAAUAAAUACCUGGAAUUUACACGAAAUAUUUUUUCCCCUUUUUCCUCUCCUCGCGCCUUUCUUACAGUCAAUUCAAAUCGUAUUAUUCUAUUAUACGCCCGCUCCUUUCAAUACGAUACGCCGGCUCAACCUUGACUGCCACCAUUCGACUAUUUUCGUCCGCGAUAAUUCGUGGCCCAUUUAGAAGCACGCGCGAUGAUAGUAGUGUUUCGUUCGUUAUCUCGAGACGUGCAAACAAUAAUGAAAUCGUUGGUAAAAAUAUAUCGGCGGUAAAAAUAACGCCAUGGGAAAGAAAGAUGCAAGGAGGGAGAA